UCCUAUAGCAAAACGGCUGGUGGGCUGCACGGGAAGAACCGCGCAUGACACGUCAAUCCAAGAUGGAGGCAGCAGGCCGAGAAGCUGCACUCGGCCCUCGGAAUCCAUUAGGCGCACGCACGCAGGCACGUGCAGAGAGAACCCCGCCCCCUCCUUGCUUUGGCACGCACGCAGGCACGUGCGGAGAGAACCCCGCCCCCUCCUUGCUUUGGCGUAUAUAAAGCAGCCCCCACCACAGCCUUCGGCCCUGAAGAGCACGUGCUCCAGUGCGUGAGCUGGUGUCUCUCCGUUGGUCUGUCAGAGAAGGACGCUUUCCUUUGCUUCUGAAGCUAACUGAGUCACAUUCUGUCAGCUGAAAGGACACCGAGCAGAAGGACCGUUCAUAAGGAAAGUCCUUGACUUAAUAAGCAAAGGAAAAAUGUAUGCUGCGGUUCCUGAAGAUCUCUGAUUUAAGUUUAAACAAAGAAGGCUUCUUUGAAAGGUCCAAGUAAGAAAUGCCAAGCUAAGGAGGAUGGAGCUGGCCUGGGAGCUUUGUGAGUUAUCAGGAGACCUGGGUUCAAUUUCUGGAUCAGGAAGAUCCCUUGGAGAAGGAAAUGGCAACCCACCCCAGUAUUCUUGCCUGGAGAAUCCCACGGACAAGAGAAGCAUGGCAGGCUACAGUCCACGGAGUUGCAAGAGUCAGACACAACUUUGUGACUAAACCACCAUGCAGCACAUCCUUGUUUCUCGUGUUGGUUUGUAUCUCUUAAUCUUAUACCUCUAAUUUGUCCCUCCUGCCUUUACUUUAUUCUUUGGUAACCACAAGUUUAUUUUCUAUAUCUGUGAUUUUGUUUCUGUUUUGCAUAUACCUUCA